rnacentral:rRNA from 1 species
GUAUCGGAGAGACCAACAGGGAUUACCUCAGUAACGGCGAGUGAAGCGGUAAUAGCUCAAAUUUGAAAUCUGGCUUCGGUCCGAGUUGUAAUUUGUAGAAGAUGCUUCGGGUGUGGCUCCGGUCUAAGUUCCUUGGAACAGGACGUCAUAGAGGGUGAGAAUCCCGUAUGUGACUGGGUGCCUUCGCCUAUGUGAAGCUCUUUCGACGAGUCGAGUUGUUUGGGAAUGCAGCUCAAAAUGGGUGGUAUAUUUCAUCUAAAGCUAAAUAUUGGCCAGAGACCGAUAGCGCACAAGUAGAGUGAUCGAAAGAUGAAAAGCACUUUGGAAAGAGAGUUAAACAGUACGUGAAAUUGUUGAAAGGGAAGCGUUUGCAAUCAGACUUGCAUGUUGCCGAUCAUCUGGUGUUCUCACCAGUGCACUCGGUUUCGUUCAGGCCAGCAUCGGUUUGGGUGGUUGGAUAAAGGCCUUGGGAAUGUAGCUUCUUUCGGGGAGUGUUAUAGCCCUCGGUGCAAUGCAGCCUACCUGGACCGAGGACCGCGCUUCGGCUAGGAUGCUGGCGUAAUGAUUGUAAACGACCCGUCUUGAAACACGGACCAAGGAGUCUAACAUCUAUGCGAGUAUUUGGGUGUUAAACCCAUAUGCGUAAUUAACGUGAACGGAGGUAAGAGCCCUUAAGGGUGCAUUAUCGACCGGUCCUGAUGUCUUCGGAAGGAUCUGAGUAAGAGCAUAGCUGUUGGGACCCGAAAGAUGGUGAACUAUGCCUGAAUAGGGUGAAGCCAGAGGAAACUCUGGUGGAGGCUCGCAGCGGUUCUGACGUGCAAAUCGAUCGUCAAAUUUGGGUAUAUGGGCGAAAGACUAAUCGAACCAUUGACAGGAGUCACCGGUGUUACCGUUUUGUUAAAGUAGUAUCAAGCAAGCUUUGUACUU